UGAGGAAUAUUGGUCAAUGGGCGAGAGCCUGAACCAGCCAAGUAGCGUGCAGGAUGACGGCCCUAUGGGUUGUAAACUGCUUUUAUAUGGGAAUAAAGUGAGGGACGUGUCCCUUAUUGCAUGUACCAUAUGAAUAAGGACCGGCUAAUUCCGUGCCAGCAGCCGCGGUAAUACGGAAGGUCCAGGCGUUAUCCGGAUUUAUUGGGUUUAAAGGGAGCGUAGGCCGCCAGAUAAGCGUGUUGUGAAAUGUACCGGCUCAACCGGUGAAUUGCAGCGCGAACUGUUUGGCUUGAGUGCACGGUAAGCAGGCGGAAUUCAUGGUGUAGCGGUGAAAUGCUUAGAUAUCAUGAAGAACUCCGAUUGCGAAGGCAGCUUGCUGCAGUGCGACUGACGCUGAUGCUCGAAGGUGCGGGUAUCAAACAGG
rnacentral:rRNA from 1 species